UACAGAGGGUGCGAGCGUUAAUCGGAAUUACUGGGCGUAAAGCGUGCGUAGACGGUUAUUUAAGUCGGGUGUGAAAGCCCCGGGCUCAACCUGGGAAUUGCAUUCGAGACUGAAUAGCUAGGGUACGGUAGAGGGAAGCGGAAUUUCCGGUGUAGCGGUGAAAUGCGCAGAUAUCAGGAGGAACACCUAUGGCGAAGGCAGCUCGCUGGGACGUUACUGACGCUGAGACGCGAAAGCGUGGGGAGCAAACAGG
rnacentral:rRNA from 1 species